rnacentral:tRNA from 1 species
UUUCUCGUAGCUUAGUAGUGAAGAAGUUUUGUGUGUAAAGCCAAAGGUCCCGGGUUCAAUUCCCGGCGAGGGUG